GCGAAGGAAGGCGCUGCCUCGCGUUGGAGGAGCUUGCUCUGAGCUGCUGCCACCUGCUGGGCUGGAGCUGGAGCUGGAGCUGCGAAUUCGGAGUCCCGGUUCCCUGUGCCACCUGGCGAGCUCAGCAAACUAAAAGUCUCUUUGUCUUCAUCGUUUCCGGCACUGAUGUGAGCACAUCAUAAGCACAAGACCUGGACACCUUUACAAUCAGAGGGCCUAGGACUGGAGCUCUGGAUCUGACCGGAGCAAAGAGGAAGCACGCAAAUCCGGACAUGACGACGAGGAGGCAGUAGAGACCCAUCCUCAACUGUUCUUGUCCUAGAGCCUCUUUCCCUACUUCUAAAUGAGUGGAAAGCCACCCACAAGCCCGUGAGUGAGGAUGCCCUUGGUAAACCCAGGUGAUCACACCCUGGGCAGGCCCUGCCCCACAGGGCCCCAUCCCGCUGCUCCCCAGCCUGUCCUCACCAACUGCCCAGGCAGGAGCAAAGCCCACGGGGAGGACCUGUGACCACAGGCAAGGACCACGGACCCCAGCCCCAGGGAUUUUGACCUCAAGAAAGGAAACAUCCACAAUUUACCCUCCAUCUGGUGAUCCAGCUGCAUCUGGGGUGGGUUUGGUCUCUGCUGGGACCAUGAGGUUCAGACCACCAAGAAAUAGCACUAGCACAGGUGAAAAUCAUGGGCAAACUUUAUUGGCAUAAAUCACAGGAAUUGAAAUGGGAAAAGCCAGCUUGGAAGUUUACAGAGAAAAAAUAAAAUCAAAAUCAAAUUUUCAAAUAACCACUGACUCAGAGAAUGGACCCCAGAAACCCCAGUCCCUCUUGGGGAAGAUCUAGGGUGGGUCACUAUAAACAGAGCGGUAAGGCCUGCGGGUGAAAGUGGAGACAUCAGACCUUUGGAGGGGCUGGGCUGACCUUCCCCCAAAAAGGAGGGACCCUCUUCGGAGACCCCAGCACACUCGGCUUCUGCCAGGAGGCCAGUGGAGUGGUUUGGACUGUCACCAUUAGACCCCGGUGGGGCCCCUUUCUCCUCAUCAGGAGCCCAAGGCCUGGCUCCUCUUUCAUCCUUGGUAAAGAGCUCUGGGGGGUUUCCCCAGAGGAGCCUGUCCCUCUGCCCCAAAUCCUAUCAUGCUCCCUUAUGACCUUCUUUCCAGACCCCCUGAGUGCCGAUCCCACCUGUGAAAGGGGAGGAGCAGAUCUGGGGAAGGGAUAUGCCCAGAGGAAAUCAACAAGACCAAAGAGACGUCAGAGUCCUGAUGGCCAAAAUCAGACACCAGCUUUCCUGAGAAGGCAGAAGAGAGAGCCCCAUAGAAGCAGUGGGGGCUCAGAAGGUUCAGUGGGUUCACAGGGGAGCAGAGGCUCCUGAGGGCUUACUCAGACAGGAAGCAGCCCCCCAAAACAUACUUCCCCUUCUCCUCCCACAGAAACAGAACAGAUAAAGUUCAGAAUUCUAGGCCCAAAAGGGUGCAACACCCUUCAACCAGUUUCAGUGAAGAGCUUGCUGGCCUGGGAAGUAAAGAAGGGGUUUCCAAAUACAGCAGUUUAUAAAACAGUCCUGGUGAGCUAUGAAGUGAAAGAGGGGGAGUCACAGAGCUGCUCCCAGUUCACCUGCUUGUGCUAAGAAACAAUAAAAUACAAAUUGCUUCCCCACCCCAACCCUCAGUACAAAGCAAACUUCACACCAGAGCCACCAUCAGUGACAGGCCCAGUGGCGGUGGAUGAGGAAGAGAAUACAAAAGGGAACGUCUUUAAAAUCUCUUCAAAAUCAUUUUGUAUAGAGAAGUAAAAGCAACUCAGGCGAUAUGAAUUCAAACCUCAGUGUAGAAAUCUAUCAAAGUCGGUACAGUGUCCAGGCACGCCGUCCCGGAGACGGAGGAAGUGACUAGAAAACAUUAUUGCUGGAGAGGCUUUUCUCAGUAGAACAAGAGCAGGUAUAAAAGGGGAGGGCGGGUCUAAAAGGCAGGGGCAGUCGCCAGGCCUAGGGCACUGGAAGGGUAGGAGGAGCACAGAGAACCUUCCAUGGCCCCUUUGGUUCUCUGCCUUUGGAUGGAUGGAUUUAUGCUGGCAUUGUCUGGAGGGAGCCGGGUGUCCCCCAAUAAUCACAGAACAAAGACAAUUAGGUCGGGGGAGGAAUAAGGAUAAAAAGAGACCCCAACAGACCCUGCCUGCCCUUCCCUGCCCCCCGGCUGCACUGCUGAAAUAUGAGGAAGAGAUGGCUCCAGUGUGGGGUGCUGGCCAGGCCAGUUCGUGGGGACGUACAUGGGCUGGGGUGGAGCCCCCAGCCUCUACCCCUGGGGAGGAUGGAGAGUGGGCAGCCUAGGGAGAGCUACAGGAGGGAGGAGGGGGCCCAGAGGCUCUGGCAGGGGUGAAGACAAGCAGGGGGACCCCUCACGGCCCUCUGUCCAUCCCGCACCAGCGGAGGACAAGGGUUCCAGUUUCAGUCGGGUUUACCCCUUCACCCCCGGGUGAAGUCUCUAGGUCACAGUCGCAGUUGGGGAUGCUGGCUGGGGAAGGGGGGCAGAGACAGGGGCAGGGCACCUAGCAGAAGAGCUUGAGGAAGCAGUUCUGACAGUAAGGCUUGUCGUUCUGCUCCUUGAAGGUGCCCUUGUUGAGCUGCUUGAGGCAGAAGGCACAGACGAAGUGCUCGGGGUGGAACUUCUUGGCCAUGGCGGUGAUGCAGCGGCCGGUGAUGGGCUUCUGGCAGCCAGAACACAGCGAGCCGCGCCGCUCGUGGUAGUGCACCUCACAGUAGGGCUGCCCGUCGUGCUCGAAGAAGCUGCCGUUCACGAAUGGCGUGAAGCAUUCCUGCCAGGCGGAGAGAGGGGCUCAGGGAGCUGCCCCUCGGGCUAGAGCUGCACCCUGUGUGAUGGGGCCGAGGUGGGCAUAGUCGGCACGCUCGGAGUGACUCCUACUUGCUAGGCGUUUCCCAUGUGCCGUGUUGUCCUAAACGCUCAUUUUUCAUUUUUAUUUUAUUAAAUAAAUUUUUUUUGUAGAGAUGGGGGUCUCACUAUAUUGCCCAUGCUGGUCAAAUGUGGCCUCCUGCAAUCCUCCCACCUCGGCCUCCCACAGGGCUGGGAUUAUUUAGUUCUCCCAACAGGGGAGGCAACUGAAGCACACAGGUGAAGUAACUUGCCCAGGGUCAUGCAGCUACUGAGGUCACAGCCUGGAUUCAUACACAGGUCUGACUCCUGAGCACUUAGCCAGGUGGCUGUAACAGUGUUCCCAGAAACACAGGUGUGACACUGGUCUGUAGUCAAACUCUGCCUCCUAGAUUCUCAUUGGAGAUUCACAUCACAUAUAGGUAGAAAAGGCUCUGAGAGGGGCCGGGUGAGGUGGCUCACACUUGUAAUCCCAGCACUUUGG
rnacentral:lncRNA from 1 species